AAGAUUUACAUCACCACCCAAGUUACUCAUAAUGGCAUGAAUUAUAUACAAAAAUUAGAUUAAUUUAAAAUGUCGUUUUUUUACAUUCAUUAUAUACAAAUAGGUGUAUCAAUGGGAAUCAUAUCUACAUAGAACGGGUGUCUAUCACAGUUGAUAUUAUUAACAAACCAAACAUGAAUUAUUCGAACAACUCGCUUCAUGAUUCUUUGAUCGAGUUGAUUUCAUAGAUGUUAUCAAAUCUUGGUGUCAUGACAAUCUUUUGGAGUUUGACAACACUAUUUGGAAGAAAUGUGCAAGUGGAAAUGAUGAAAGAAACAUAUACUAUGUAUAGGAAAAAUAAUAAAAGCAAAUGACAUCAUGAACAAAUAAAAAAUAUGAUACAAAAUUGGCUAAUCCUAAAAUGCUUGAUUGACUUACAACCUAAAAAUAUCUAGAGAGACAUCACAAACAAACAAAACACGGAUAAUCUGAACAACCACGAUCUAUGAUUCCUUCUCAAGGCUGAUCUCUGAGAUGUUAUCAGAUCUUGAUGCCAUUAUAAUCUCGUUUUUUAGAUUGAUGGGGAGGAGGAAUAGAUGAAUGAGACAAUUGAAUAAGAACGGAGUAUAUAUAGGUAAACAUUAUAAAUGAAAUAUUAUGCAAAGCAAUAUAAAAAUAAG
rnacentral:lncRNA from 1 species